rnacentral:sRNA from 1 species
AUGUACUGGCGUGUACACUCCGGUUCCUGCGCUCCGGCCGCCCCCGGCUGACGCCCGCUCGCGACGUUUUUGGGAC